AUGGCAGUGGAAUAUUGGUUGUGAUAUAAUUAAUUAUGAUUUGAUACAAGUCUUGUUUUCCUAAAUAUUCUUGGCAUUUGAAACUGAAUAUGAACCAUAUGUUUAGCUUUUGUAUUUGGUCAGAAUGAGAAUGAGAAUGAAAAAAAAAAAGAAAAAGAGAGAGAAAAUGGUAAUGGAAUAUAAACACAUUGGAAAAGUGUGGAAUCACAGAAUAAAAUUUCAUUAAUAACAACUUUAACGAUACGUUAACCUUUCCAUAUUAAGUUUGAUUACUCCAACACCACAUAUUACCUCUCUCUCUAUCUCUCUACCAUCAUUUUCUAUAUUAUCAAUUUAUACUUCUAAAAUUUUAAGUCGGUAUUAAUUAUUAUUAUUAUUUUGUAAAUAAAGUUAAUCUUUGUCAACUUUAGGAUAGAAAGCAUAAAACACAUUUCAAGUGUUUUGGAGAGGAGCAGACGUACAAUACACAAAAGAGAAAGAAAUUCUUUUUUUGAGUGUAGGAUUCCGUUCAGCGGUGUAUAUAUGUUGCUCAUGUGGGUCUCAUGAACAACGAAUUUUGUUCCAAAUCGACCUUCUUCCAUUGUAUAUAUCAAAACUAUAUCAUAAUUAAGAAUGAGAUAUUUUUUAAAAUAACAAAAUAAAUUAAAAUAUUUAUAAACUAUAGCAAAAUUUUGGAUUCUACUAAUUAUAGUCUUCUAUCGCUAUAGCAUAUGAUAGAAUUUGUUAUAAGUUGUAAAUAUUUUAUAAAAUCUACUAUUUUAAAAAAAUAUAUAUUUAAGAAACUUGUUAAAAAUAAAAGUUUAGGGCACAUUUUUAUUUUCAAAGAUCAAAUAAAUAAAACGAUUAAGUUUAAGGACUAAUAAACUUGUAAUUUAUUAAGUUUAGGGAUGAAAUGAGUUGUUAAAAGUCUUACAAUUUUAAAGAGGAAGGGGAUAACUUGCAUUGAAAAGUGAAAUUUUAUAUUCUAAAAAAAAUAAUUUGACAGAAAGUGUUUUAGUUUAUAGUUUGAAUCCAUUUCAUGUCAUGUACUGUAUUAAAAAGAAUUGUGAAUUCAGUUGAAGAAGAAAAAGAAGAAAGAAAGAGAGUCAAAUACAAGUAAAAGAUAGCAAAAAACAGAUGAGAACUUGCGGUGGCAACAAAAUAAUGGUCAAUUUCUAGGGACAAACAAACUCAAAGUUUCAAAUCAAAGUGGGAAGAUUCCAUGAGUCUUUCCUGUAUACAUAUCCAUUGCCUUCCAUUCUCUCCCCCUCUCCUUUUUUCUUCUUCAACACCCUCCAUAGGUUCUAUCAAAACAUUGAAAUAAAAUUAUAAUCAAAUAUUUUGGACAUAUGUUUGUAGAUAUGAUAGUUUUAAAUUAUGAUAAAACAUUGACAUUGCAUUAUUGUUGUUUAGAAAAAGGGAUUGCUAACAAAAACGUUGAUUGUGCAUCAUACUUUCCUUAUCGGUGCUUCCCUUUUCUUUCUUCCAUCGACGUCUUCUUUUAUUUAGUAUGCCGUUUGCUCAUUAUAAUUUCACCAUGCAUCUUUAAAGGACUCUUACUUCUCUAAUUAGGGUUGGUUGUUCAACUUAUCUUAAGAUCUUAGGAAAACAUUUUUAUUAUCUUGUUCUAGCUAUUUCAUCCUAGUUAGAAGAAGGAAACUUUACAUGUAUCGAAGACAUACUACAUUUUCCUCACCACUACUCAUUAAUUGUGAUUGAAAAGAAGGGGUCCCUAAGCUUAAGAGGAGUCUAAGUCAUUCGAACUAAUGAUGUUUUGUUUAAUGGAAAGAUAUCACUGUGAGAGGGAGUCCCACAAACUUGAGGAGAGCUCAAGUUCUUUAGAAAGGGAGUCUAUGUCUUAGACGGAGCCUAAGACCAUCUUCACCAAAAAGUAGAUAACAAACAAAGAAAUUUAGAGGGAAAAGUAGGUAGACCUAUAGGCUUAAUUAAAAAUAAUACACAAAAAAAAUUGUAUGUCGUCACCAAAUGAGGCUAAUAUAAUUUAUUUUAAAAUUUAUUCUUUUACUCGAGAUAACUUAAAAAAAAAUAUCACUAACUAGCGACAAAAUAUUCUUAAUUUAGAGUUAUUUUUUUAAUGAAAUAUUAACAGUUUCAGUUCAUAUACUAUUUGUGUGCAUGAUUUUUAAUACAUUUUUUAAGUUUUUGAUUUUUUUUCAAUAGUUCAAAAGUAUAUUUUUAAAACAAAACUUUAACGGUUUUCAUCCAAAACGUACCAAUAGGGAUAUUUAUGAACUAUUUUUGAAAGAUUGAGGGUAUUUUUGGAACUUUUGAAAAUUUAGAGAUAUUUUUUACACACGAUGUAACUUCGAUGGCUACUUUUUAUGUUUUAGUUUUUUUUUUUUUUUUUUUGUCGACGAUAGACAUGCUGGUACUUUUAAUAUAAAUCUAUGCUUUUAAUUAAGUUGUAGAAAAGUCUACCAAAUAUAAAAUAUAAGCAACAAAAUGUUACUAAAAUAAUGAAUAGACAAGUUAAAUUGUUUAAAAAUUAAAAUAGUUUUUUAUUUUUUAUUUUAAUAUUUUUAAGUAUUAUUAAUCGACAUCGACGUUUAAUCAAUAUUUUUAUUGAUAUUUAUGUGAACGUCAACCUUUCAAACACUACUGGAUAUAUUAUAAAUUAGAGUUAAUAUCUUUAUUUUAAUAAUAUACAUUAAAAAAUAUAUAAUCUAUUAGUUCCAAUAUCAAUGUUUAAUAUUCUAAAAAAAGAAUUGUAUACCGAUAAUAAGAUUUAUAACUUAAUUUGAAAGUACUAAUUAUGAAAUUAUUAUAUUAUCGAUGCCAAAAUUUGGAUGAUGAAAAUGCACGCAACCUUCGUACGACAACAACGCUAAAUUUGUAAUCUAGGAAAGAAUAAAUUAUUCAUGAUCAAAAUAUUUGUACAUCGAUAUCAUGCUUACCACACAGGCUUUAAUGCUUUAUUAGAAAGUGUAUAUAUGUAGCAAGUUAAUUAGAGAGUUUAAGUAAUAAAAUGAAGCUACUUUUCUUACGGUUAUCUUGAUAUAUUUAUAGGCGGUAAUUUAUUUGGAAACCCUCUCCCUUGGGUUUUUUUAGUUGUUUUAGGUUUAUUCUUUAUUUAUUAGGCUAAAGUGGGCAAGAAAUAGUUUGCAUCGACUUUUAAUUACGUUUAUUAUCUAAACAUUUUGAGACAAAAACUCCAAUAAGUUUCCAUUUGGACUAAACUUUAGUCAAAAAUGGUAAUUGUAUAAGUAUAUAUUACAUAAAACGUACAAAUAUAAAUACAAUAAACUAGAGCAUCCUCAUACACAUUACACAUCUUUGACUUGCUCUAGAUUAUUUUAUAUAUCUUACCGAACCUAGACUCUCUAGAUGACCCUCGAACACUUUAGCCAUGAGAGCCUUUGUAAAUGAAUCAAUAAUGUUAUGCUCUGAAGUGACCUUUGUAACGAUCAUGUGUCUCCUUGUUGAACAAUCUCCCUUAUUAGAUUAUACUUCCUCUCUAUGUGAUUUUCUCGUUUGUAGCUGUGGGAUGUUUUAGAAUUGACUACUAUCCCACUGUUGUCAUAGUAUAAAGUACGAUAAAUAAGUUUAUGUUUGGAAAAACUUCCAAAACAUGCAGGGAUUUGCUGAGCCAAACUGCUUCUUUUGCUAUUUUGCAAACAACGACGUACUUAGCCUCCAUAAUGGAGUCUAAAAUGCAUCUUUUUCUAAACUCUAAUCGAUGUCAACAAUGAUAUAUAGUAGAUCAUUUUUUACGUGUUUUCAGCUAUUCUUCAACAAUUUUAGGCAUUAGGAGAGUACCUUUUUCUUCUAGUAAUUUGAGAAUGAUACUUUAUCUUAUGGAGAGCCUCAUAUAUCAUUACUCACAAAGGAGUAUACUCAAAUGUACAUAAGCCUAAGUUCUUAUAUUGAAGAGUCUUUCACAAGUUGGAGGAAAGAUAACAUCAAAAGAGAGAGAGUCUCAUACACUAAAAAAAGUCAAAGUGUAUCGUUAUUAACAUCCACAUAGGAGGAGUUUAAGUUCCAUUAAGAAGAAGUGUCACACCUAGAAGGAGCCCAUAUAAUAAAUAAGUUAGGCUCUACAUGUGUCAUAGUUAAACAUCACCACUUUAAUUAUUUCAAAUAAGUAUUACAUUGUAAGCACUUGACUUUUUAUAUUAGUGAAUUCAUCGUCCUUUCCAGAGUAUAGCAUUCCAUCGACGUAUGAUCGCAUAUCACCAAAAUGGGUCACUAAAGGAUCUGAGUGUUUUUCUUGCUUCGUUGUUUCUAUGCUAUAUUUUUGUAUUUGUGAUAGCUUGAACAUCUUAUUUACCAAUGUAAUAUAUAGAAAUUAAAAGUAGACCCUUAUGCAUGAUGGCGUGCAAGUUAAGUGAGGUGAUAAAUGAUCAUUAAAGGUAAAGACCUUAGAGUUGUUUGGUACAACAAAAGUCAAUAUGAGAAGGUGUAAAGAGUUUUAUAUGAUGUUAAGAUUAGUUCACUACAUUUUUAUUUUCUUCUCAAGAAGUGAUAUGUUAGUUUAACAAUAUUAGAUAUAACCUUUUUAGAGGUUGAAAAGUUUCAUCCCCAUGAAUUUCAAAACAAUUUCUUUUGGGGUAUUUUUCUGUUAUUUAUGAAUUUUGUUUUCUAUAAUCAAUUCUUCUUCCAAUCAAAUCUACAAAUAUUUAUAAUAUAUGGUCAAACUCAGUAAGAGAGUAAAUUAAAUUUAGUGAUUCCAUCAUCAGGUUUUUCAACAUAAAAUCUAUAAACACUUUCUUAGUUUUUCUUAUAUUAUUGAUUCAGACAAUUUGAUCUCAAAAUAUUCCAAAACGUUAUACUAUUUUGUAACUAUUUCUCCAUCUUUUUUAAAAUUUUUUUGCUCUCAUAUUCACAUUUACACUAAUAUCUAAACUAUACUAGAAAUAAUUAAAAAUGAAAAUUUCCAUAAAUUUUCAAUAAAUUCAUAAAAUUAUAAUGAAAAAAGAGGUUAGAAAUUACCCUUCAUUGGUUCACCUUUGACAGCUAAGAUAUUUAUAAAAAAUAGAAAAACAAAACUGAUUGAAAUAGUUUUCUCAAACCCAACUCUAAGAUUCCAUUAAACAAAAUUGACUUUGAAUACAGAAUCUUUAUCUACUCUUUAAUCUUUUCAAAUUUCAAAGAAUAAUCUAAUAAUAACGUUGUAAAUAUGACAUUUGAACUUACAUCUAAAAGGUACUAAUUUGACAGUUUUACCAACAAUCUAAAUAUUCAUUCUCCUACUUUUUGUUAUAUAUAUUAUAUCAAAAGUAUAAAGUUAAAGGAGUUUGAAAUUUUUGAUAAAUAAGUCUUCUCUAUAUUAUUUUAUAAAUUAAAUAUUUAAGAUAGAAUAAAAUUUAUCAAUAAAAAAUACCUAUAGCCUUGGCCUUGGACUUAGGGCUGAGAUUCACAAAAUUUCUCUCUUCAUUUUGUUCUUAAAGUUUUCAUUUUUUUUUUCUCAACCAUAUAAAAUUGUUUAAAUUUUUCUAUAUUAAACGUGUCAUUUUUUUUUCUUUCUUGUCUUCAGACAAUUAAACAUGUCAUUUUCAAUACAUUUUUAUUCAAACUAAAUCAGUAUAAAUUUGUCCAAAAAGAAAAUGAAUAUUUUAAAGAACAUUUUUAAAUAUAUAAAAAUCUCUCGAUAUUUAAUGUGUAAAGAUAUAAUUCAAGUUUUUAAUAUAUAUUUUGAGAAUAUAGUAAUUGAUAUUUAUAUAAAAUGAGAGAUUUGUAAGUUUUAUUUUGAAGGUGAGAUUUGUUUAGGGAACGGGGAGCCCUCACCCAUUGGUCCAUUCUCCAUCUGAUCGGACAAUCAGUGCCGGAACCGAGAUGGGUCUCCACAGGACCCUGCCCCUAGAGAAAAUGGAGAUGUCUACGUAGAGGUAGAUGUGGAAUGUGGGCUAUUUAUGACCACACCUACCUUAUGGAACAACGUGAACAAAGAAAUUAAAAGAGUUUCAUUCAUUACCUUCAAAGUAUCUACAUAUUUAAAAGCUGUAAAAAUUAAACUACAAAAUAUCUUAACUAAGAACUGUAUCAUUAAAAAUUUAAAAGCAGAGAAAAACCAUAAACAUUCUUGUUUCUCUCACAAUAAUUCAACAAUGGCUUCAGGUUCAGGAUUAAACUCCAAUAUCUUCUUCUUCUUACAAAUCUUCAUCAAUCCAAACCACAAAAUCCCACCCACCGUCAUUCCACCACUCACCAACAACACAUUCUUAUGGGUAAAAACCAUCACAACCACCAGAAACCCAGACGGAAUCAAACACAUCAUAAUCAAACCUGGCAGUUUCAAUGGAACUUUGAACGGCCUCUUUAUCCCUGGAUGCCUCCAUCUCAACCAAACAAACGAUGAAAAUUCCAACAACAUUCCUAAACUGUAUAUGAAAUUCGCCGACGCUACAAUGUCCGUGAAAUCCAUGUACGAAACCGCCAGAGAAAUCGCCGUGCAGAUCACAAUCCCAAUCCAUGGCGUCUUGAACCAUUUCGCUCUACUCCCGAAGAAUUUGGGUAAAACCCCAAUCUCCGCCAUACCCAGAAUUUGAUACGCGCUGCUGCUUAAUUGGGCUUCGAAAAGCCCAAUUGCUGAUAACGUUGAACCGAUUUCCAGGAGGAAUUUCAGCCAUUUUCCGGCGAUUAUUCCUGCGGCUUGUGCGUGGAAUCCAGAUCCCCAAGCGGAUUGUUCAACAUCUACGGCGCCGAUUACGGCUAAGAGUGGGAUUAAGUAAGAAAGACAAGUGAAUAUUACAGAGACGAACAGAGCCUUGGGGAACGUUUUUUGGGGGUUUUCAACUUCUCCGGCGAGUGUGCUUACAUUAUCCCAGAAAUUGAGGUUCCAAAACAGAGUGUUGAGAUACAGAUUCCAAUCCCUUUCCUUAUCGCCCAAAAUCAGCCAUCGAUGGGGCUUGAUUUUGGGGAUUGCAAUGAAGGUCAUUAAAAUGAAGGGUAAGAGAGAUAAGAAGGCUAAAACGACGGCAACGUAUCCGACGAUGGUGAGACCGAUGUAGUUGAGGGCGGCGAGGAUGAGGGUGGAAGCGAGGACGGCGAUGCGGCGGGGCCAGCCGGAUUCAAGCGGCGGAGCAAUUUUCUUGAUGUAAUCGAUACAGAGGACAGGGAAGGCGGCGAUGUUGAUGACGCCGCUGAGGAGUUUCCAUGUACCCAUGAGAGAACCCCAGAAGGGUCCGAAGGCUCUUUCGGCCCAAAUGACGAAGCCGCCGUUGCCGGGGAAAGCGGUGGAGAGCUCUGCCGUGAUUAGAGCCUCCGGGACACUCCAUAUGAAAGGAAAGACGAUGAAGCCGAUGAUGGCGAGGAGAGGUCCGGCGGCUUGGACGGUUGGCUCUUCGCCGUAAGGGCCGCCGGCGACUUCGAAGUAGAUGAGGAAGAUGAGGGGGAUUAGAGUGAGUUUUUUUCUGACUGAGGGAGGGGUGGAGGGAGUGGUUGUGGGGAGGAUUUGAGAAGAGGAAUCGGUGGUGGCCGGUUGGUUGGAGUUGGACUGUUGUUUGUCAUCUGCCAUGAUUGAUUGGGAGAAGCUAACAAACAAACAAAACCAAACAACUAAAAAUAGAGCCUUGUAAGAUUAUAAAAGACAAAUAAAAAGAGGAAAAUAGAAAAAUAUAUCAACAAGUUUGUUAUUAAUAUUAUUAAUUCAAAAAAGAUAUAUACCAUUUUAGUCUUAAAUUUUGAAAAAGAAUGGGUUUGGUCUACAAUGUUUAGAACACAUCUCUUUAGUCUUUAGUCUUUGGGUUUGUAAGAAUAUAUUCAUUUGGUGUCAAGCUUUUUAAUAAAAAUACUUCCAUGACCUUUGUUUUGAAGUCCAUUUUUAAAAAUUAAAAAGUAAAGAAAAGGAACCUUUUGAAAAAUAAUGAUAAAAGGAGUCAAUUAUCCAAUACAUUUUGAAAACCCACAUUUUUGUUUUAUAGGUAAUAAAUGAGUUGAGGAGGAGAGGGCCAUAUUGUUGGAUGCUAAAUGCUAAAACUGCAUGAUUGAUUGAUUUAUUAUUUAAGGGCAAUUUCUCCAUUCAACUAUCCAUAAAUCCACAAAUCCUUUUAAAUAUUCUAUAAACAAUCAAUUUUCAAUCUAAAAAUCAAAUCUUAACUAUUAAUUGACAAUUUUUCAUAAACAUAAAACAACCCUCCCUAUUUUUUCAAGAAAAGUAUUCAACUUUUGCUCUCCCUUUCCAUUUCUUUCAUAUGCAAUUUCUUGUUUACUUUUUCUUUUUUUUUUCCAUUUCCUAGAUUAAGCAUUUAGUUUUUAAAAAUUUAUACUUAUUUCUUCUCAAUUUGAUUUUCAUUUUUUCAAUUAAAACAUUUAAACUCCUGAACAAAAAAUUAUAUUUACCAAAUUUGUUAUAUGAAAAAAAAAAAAAGUGUUGUGAACUGUUUUUUUAAUUUUUUUAUCUAAUGCAAUUUUCCUAUAACAAAACACCAAAAUAUCUAAUGCAAUUUCCCCUCUCCACCGUCUUUCUUCUCUUCUUCUACAUUUUUUUUAUAAUUUUUUGAAAUCAUCGUCUUUGUUUUCAAUCAAUCAUAAAUUUUAUACCAAAUAUAUCAAAUAUAAAAUAUUUUGAAAAAAAAUCGUUAGGAUAUUGGUACAUGAUCAUGUAGAUUUGAAACGUUACAAAAAAAUUAUUAAAUAUAUUACACCAGUGAGUGACCAAUUAAUUGUGUGUUAACCGAACAUAUUUGGUUUUCUAUUUGUGGGUAAUGUAAACUUUUUUUUUUCUUUUUGAAAUGGUUAAAUAUUCAGUGGAUUUGUUAUAUUUUUUUAAAAGACCUACUUUUAAAAACUAUAUUAAUAUAUAUAUAUAUAUAUAUAUAUAUAUAAUAUAUAUAUAUAUAUAAUAUAUAUAUAUAAUAUAUAUAUAUAUUUAGUUUUCAAAACAUAACUUAGUUUUAUUUAAAACGCUAGCCCGAAAUAGAUAACAUUACAAAGGAACUUAGAAAUAGGACUAGUUUUUAAAAACAAAAAAUAAACUAUUUGAUUUUUAGUUUUUUUUUUUUGUUUUUGUAAAUUAAGUCUAUAAAUAUUCAUUCUACUCCUAAUUUUUUGGAUUUUUAUUAUUCAGAUACUAAAAAAAAAUGUAGUGAUUAUCAAACAUGACCUUAAUAAUUCAAUUUUAGCAUGUAACAGUUCAUAUGUACAUUUUCAAAUUGGUAAAAUUAUCUAAUUAUAUUUUUAAAAUAAUACAAAAAUAUAAUCAAAUUUUUAUUAAUGAAGUUUAGUGGGAUGAAGGUGGUGAUAUAAAAAAGGAAAAGAAAUAAAAAUUUGGAAAACGUAAUUGAAAUGAGUGGUUUUGGAUGUGAGCUAAUAAAUGUAUAUCUAAAAUAGCAUUAUUUGAAAAUUCCAUUAGUUUCUUUACCUUUUCUUUUCUUUUCUUUUGGGGAUUCUCGACUUGUAUCUUUACGCUACAAUAUGAGAAAAUUAGAAUAGCCUUCAACAUUAAAAUAGGAUUCCAUAUGAUGCCUUCUAAUUCAUUUAUUAUUUCCUUUUAAAGCAAACCACAACACAAUCUUACCCCAUCCAAUCAAAACUAAUCUUUUUCCACUCCUUUCCUCCUUUUAUUUUCACCUCUCUUCCAUUACAUGCUUCUUAUGAAAAAUCUUAUAAAGUCCCUCAUCCCACAUAAUUGAAUCAUCGAAAAGGAAGAUACACAUUGUUGGUAUAGGUAGUAGUUUCCACUUCUUAUAAAUCUUUUCUAAUCGUAUUAAAUAAAACUUCUCUUCGGUGUCCCUAAUAUAGUAUUAAUUUAAUACAUUUUAUGUCACAUCUUAUCAUAUCAUUUUAUUGUUAGUUAACUAACGGUCACAAUGGUCUUAUGAAUCAUUUAGAAUCAUUUUCUAAACUUUUUCAAGGCUCAAAUGUUCAUUUUAAAACUUAACGGACCAAAUAGAUAUCGAUUUUAAACAUCAACAAAUAAUUAAAUAUAAAGAGAAUUAUAAAAGUAAUAACUACUCAUUUCUCCAACUCAGCGUUUGUAGUCCAACGGUUAGGAUAAUUGCCUUCCAAGCAAUAGACCCGGGUUCGACUCCCGGCAAACGCAUUUUGCUAUUCAAAACCAAACCAAGAAAACUUAUGAAAUCUUUGUCAAUUUUAUUCUAGUAUAUAUAUAAGAAGAUUUAUAUAAAUAGAUGUCACACUCUUCUCAAAGAAGUGAGGUGUGACGAUGUCAAUUUUUGUUACGAUGUUUCACCUAUUUUUUUUAUAAGUGUGUGGUCGUGUGAUAUUGGCGUGGUUGAAGACAAAGUGUGAAAAAACGUGCAACAAAAUUAUGUGUUGAGAAAAGUCUUUUACGAAGUACUCAGUCUGUGUGAUGUGUGGUAUUGAACAUUUUGUUUAUGACAUUGUGACUGAUUUGUUUGAGAAGAUCCGUGCAAGUUAGGGGAGCCUAAACAUUGAAGAUUGUUUUGAGGAGUCUCUCACAGGGGGAGACUGCAUAUUAAGACGAAAGGUAGAAGCGGAAUUGAUUGUUAACCUUUCUGCUAAGUUUAAUGAUUCUAGUGCCAUAGAAUUUCAGAAGGUCGUGCAUGUGCAUGGGGUUUGCUUUACAAUCUCUUCAUCUCUCCUCAAUUAGUUUAUGGAAUUAUCUGUGUAUGAAGAUCUUGCUGUUACUUAUCAAUCUUUUGAGUAAUUGGUAGUGGAACUCACUAGUGGCAUAGUUCACUCUUGGCCUACAAAUGGUCAACUACCUUCUGUUCGGUUGAGCAUCAAAUAUGUUAUUUUUCAUAAAAUAGCAUCCUAUCAUUCUAUCUACUAUUGAUGUGGCUGGUCCAGCUUCUAAGACUAUGAACUUGAGUUUUCGACUGUUUCAAGAAGCACGAAUCACAUGUUUAUGAUCUACGUCUUUAGAUUUCUGUCUUGCUCCUGGUGGUUCUCGCUCCUCUUUCUUCAUUCUUCCCGCCUCCUUCUGUUGGGUUGUUGCUUUUUGCUCCCAUGAUGUCUCAAGUUCUUCAAGUACUUUUUGAGGAGUCGAGUAGAGUAUUAUGCGGGUUUUAUUUGCUCAUUGCUCUAUGGUGGAGUCAUUACUGACAAGAUCUUCAAAGGAUGAUGUUUUCAGUUACUGUUCCUGCUUCUUAACUUUAUUUUGUCAGCAAGCAAAGGGGAGUGUAUAUGGGUGUUAUGUGAUGUGAUCUUCUUCAACACUCUAUGAAUGAAUAUGAAUUUGCUAUUUUGUUUUGUUGAUGAUUAGCUGGUUUAGAUCUGCUUUGGUCCUCUACGAACAGAUAUGGAUUUGAUGUUUUGCUUUGUUGAUGAUUAGCUUAUUCAGAUCUGGGUAUGAUAUUUUUUUUUGUGACUAAAGUGUUGUGUGGCUAGCUAUUUUUGGUUUGCUUCUCAAUAUAACUUCUGGGUUGUUUCUAGUUUCUCUGUGUUUGGUUCUGCUAGUGAUUAGGUUGUUGGUUUGUUUUGUGCUUGUCUGCUCAAAUAAAGGAAGCUGGUCUCAAGGGGGAGUUUGUUAUUGUUGUGGUCUCACUUCCUUUAUUGUAUUUAUUUAUUAUGUUAUUCUGAAUUUGGUUAUUGAGAUUGGUUGGUUGGUUGUGCUAUCCCUUCAUUCUCGAGUUGUUUGGAUCCCUUCCCAUAGUUACUUCAUAUUAUUAUGUGAAUGUUUUGUUAUGAUUUGUAGAAAAAAAAAAUAAUUUCUUGAAAAGGUGUGGUUGGUGAUAUAUUUCGAUUGAUGAGACGUUUCGAUGUGUCCCUUCUUGACUUAUGAAUUACGAUAUUGCACAUAGAAGAUAGAAAAUUACUGAAAAGUCCAGAAUACUUGAUGAGAAGAUUGCAAGUGGUCUUUGAUAUAUAAUCUCUUACCAUAGAUCUAAAGCCCAUCAGAUGUAGAUAGUGUGUCAUUGAACUGGGUAACAAAAGUUUGAUGUGUUCUAUGUGAUUUUACGUGACUCCGUAACUAAUUCUUAUUUAGUCACAUUGGUAAACAAACAAGAAAGAAAUACACAUAAAUUUAUGAAAUGUUGGUUUAAUUCCAUGGCUUGUCAGCACAGUUGUAAGGUCGGCAAUAUUAAGCAGCAAUGUCUUUGAUUUGAAUUUCAGUGUCAUAAAUCUUUCCAUUUCGAUCACCAAGCAGUAGGAAGAACAUAAUGUGCAUAAAUCCAUCUUUUAUUAUAUAUCCUGAACUUACCAUCAUCCAUAUUUGUAAUGCUCCUCUAGUGCUUUUUCAUUGGACUCCCUCUUGGAAAACCAAAUCUAUAUAUCAAAUAAUAAUUCAAUUCACAUAUGAACAACAAUAUUUAGUAUUUUACAAAAAACAAAAAACAAAAACUAAUUAAUUAGCUGAUCGUUUUGUAUUGAUUUUGAACUGACCUGAGCUAUAUUAACUGCUUGAAUAUCAGUUUGACCACCUUGGUAUAGGAAUUUGAUGGCCAAAUACUAUGGUUUGCUACUCCAUUCUACAACUUGCACCAUCAAAUUUUUGUUUUUGUAAUCACAUGGUAUCCUUCAAAAUAAAAACAAUCCCCAAAAUUUAUAUGAGUUCAUUUAAUUUUGAACUAACUUAAAUAAGGGCCUUCAUAUAUCAAAUGUUAUUUAUAUAUAAUAUUUAUACCUCUUCUAUUUUACAUCCAACGUAUCAAUUUUCAAAAGCCUUCUUCACCAGAAGAAAUUCUGUUUUAUUUUCAUAAUUUUGAUCUGUCAAAACUAAUUUUGUUUUCAAUAAGUUGCUCAAUCUCUUGUUCUUGCAUCUUACCUACGUAAAAGGCAAACAUACUUGUCAUCCUCUAAAUUUUAAAGAGUAUAUAAUGACGUGCAUAAGAGUGAUGUAUAGAUGAUAUGAUGUACAACCACACAACUUUGAGUCAAACUGAUUACAAAAGUAAAUGAUUUAUAAUUUCAUACAUGAUAGUGAUCUAUAAAUAUAGACGAUAGGUACGAAUAUCAUAGUCAAAUGUGGAAAUGUGUGCUUAAAAUAGAUAGAUGUUGCUACAACUAUAUAUUUGAGUAAAAGUAGCUAUACAAGAAAGGAAUGGUGUAUUUUUGCAUGGAAGGGUUUGAUCUAGACCAUAUAUUUAAAUCACCAUGAUAUGUAGACAUAUGUUUGGAUAGAAAGUCUUUUGUAUUAUCAGAUUGUGGAAGCAAAGAGAGGAUAAAAAAUAAAAAAAAGAGACAAUAUAAAUAUAUAUAUAUACCUGAUAGCAUGCACCACAGGCAAUUCCUUGUUUAUAAAGGGAAGGCCCAACAGCUACAUUAAAUCCUUUAGAAAUAUCAAACUCCAAGCUUUCAUAUCCACAUCAUAUACCAUUCAAUAUAUUUCAAUUUAAUUUAAUAAAGUUUUUUUUUGUUUAUGCAAAAAGUUUUUUUUGUUAUGAAUGACAAAAUUAUUAAAAAUAUAUCAAUUAAGAAAUUUAAAACUUUAUUAUAUUUUGUAAAUAUGACACAGGGACCAAAGUUUUUAAAUAAACAAGAGAAUAGUAUGGAACAUUUUAAAUAGAAUAUGAUCAAUGUUGCAAAACGUUGUUCUCUCCGCAUUUUCUUACUUGCUUCCUAUAUUUCUCUUUGUUAUUAUUAUUCGUAAGAAACAACUUUAGACAAUAUCAAUUUUCAUAUUUUGCAAUUUUGUUUUUGUUUUAAAAUAUUUUAGGCCCAUAUUUUGCAAAGAAUCCCAAAACCAUUAUUAUUUUGACACGAGUUAUAUAAUCUUUGUAAGUUCCUUUUUUUGUUAGCAUUUCGAGACACUUGAUGCAUAGGUUUAAAAUGUUAAGCUUGGAGGUGAGGUCGAGAGAUUUAAUUUAGAUAGUAUGAAUUUAAGAAAACUAAGUUUGAAGUGCAAAUUUGAAGGUUUGAAUACGUAGUGACAUGCUUAGAAUACCGAACAAUGUAAUGCAAACUUAUAAGUGUUGAGUUUGUGAAAUAUUUUAUUAUAUUUAAUUAAUGGUUCUAUUUAUGAAUCAUUUGAAUUAAUUUAAGAAGAAAACAUAUAUAUAUAUAUAUAUAUAUAUAUAUAUAUAUAUAUAUAUAUAUAUAUAUAUAUAUAUAUAUAUAUAUAUAUAUAUAAAUACUCAAUUUUAUUUAAAUACUUUUAGUAAAAGGGAGAAACUAAUUUAGUUUAAUUUUUUCUAAAAUUUUUCAAUAGAGUAUAAGAAUUUGAACUUGGAUAAUACAUGCCAGUUAGUAAAGUGUUAUGCUUACAUUAAUAAAAAAUAAUACUACAUAAAAAUUUCUGCAAGAUCAUUAAAUGGAAUAAAAGCUAAAUAAUUCUUUGGUUAAAAAUAUCAUAGGUUGACAUCGAUAUUAAUUCUUUGAUUUUUCAUCUUUUUAGUCCUAUACAUUUAAUUGUCUAAAUUUAACAUCAAAUCAUAAAUUUAAUUAGUCUUUAUGCCAAAGACUUAAAAUAAAGCUAAUUUAUGUUCAUUUUUAUUAAAAAAAAUUGUUACAUGUAAGAAUAAUAAAGAUUUUUUUAAAAAACCAGAACAAAGCGUAAAACUAUUUACACUGUAUAGAACAUUUGUUAAAAAGGAAAAAGUCCACAAGCUCACAACAUGGAAAAAAAAAAGUUCGAAAUUAAUCGAUCACACACGUGAAAAAACAAUUUUGUACCUAGUCUAAACAAUCUUGUAUUUAGUCUAAAUGAUUUUGUAUCCAGUCUAAACGAUAUUAUACUUGUGUAUCCAGUUUAAACGAUGUUGGUGAACGAAGAGAUGAGAGAUGAUGAAAAAAGAAGAAGAAGAAGGACACAAGUAUCAAGAGAAAAAUAUUGACUUUGUGAAAAAAGAUGACAUCCAAGAUGAAAGAUGAUGAAAAAGGAAUAAAUUAUAGACGAAGAGAUGAAGAAAUUAUGGAAGGAAAAAUCUAGAAUUUAUGAAAAAAUUAACGUGUAAUAAUAAUAAUGGUUUGAUUUUAAUUUAAGAAAUGAUAUAAGAUAGUAUGUGAAUAUAUUUUGGAAAAAUAGGAAGGGACUACUAUUACAUUUUAAAGCUUUUUAAAAAUUUGAUAAAUCCAUAAUUUACGACUAAUAGUUCCUUGCAUAUUCAGCGUUUGUAGUCCAACGGUUAGGAUAAUUGCCUUCCAAGCAAUAGACCCGGGUUCGACUCCCGGCAAACGCAUUUUUGACAACUUUGCUUUUUUAGUCCAUUUAAUGUUGAAAUAACUAAAUUUGUAAGGUUAAUUUUCAUAAAUACAACCAAACACCAAAAUAUUUAACUGUUGAAUAAAAUAAAAAAAAUCCAAAUUUUGUAAUACAUAUAUCUUUCCUUUUUAUUUACUUAUGAGUGCUAUUUAAAUGUUAUAUAUAUUUAAAAAUGUGAAAUGAAAAAAAUGCGUGCGUUUGCCGGGAGUCGAACCCGGGUCUAUUGCUAGGAAGGCAAUUAUCCUAACCGUUGGACUACAAACGCCGUUGGUUAGAAUAUUUACAGUGCAAUUGUUUUUUAAGUGUAUUACCGAAGCAAUACAGUGCAAUUUAUAUGUAUAAGGAUUUUUUAAACCCUAAAUAAUUGGAAGAGAAAAAAAAAAGAGAAGAGUUUACGUAUGGAAAUACACGAUUGAUUUGACCAUAAAAAAACAGUUCUUUUCUAACCUUGCUGGUAAGGUGUUUGAAUCUCUGCUGACAUGAUUUUUUAAGCAAACAUUUUUUGGGUAAUAUUGUUAAAACCAAUAAACACAAACGAGCAAAGAUGAUGUGCUUCUACGUCCGGAUGGAAUAUUUUACUUUAAUAAUGUUGUUUAGAAAAAUAAGACGGUUUUCAAACUCAAUACAGUCACUCCCAAACAACUUAAUCACCCAAUCUUUUCUUAGGCUCAUCCCAAGGAAUGGAGACUCUCUUUCAUGUUAACUUAGACUCUCGCUAGGUUGUUGUAUUUGGUAAAGGAUGUCUUAGACUCCUCUUAAGACAAAGAUACUCCCUAUCAAGAAAACAUGAGUUCCUCUUAAGUGGUGUGACAGCUUCUUCUCACUUCAACUGCAUCUUUCCUUCUUAGAACCAAGUCACUUUGUUCAAUUUGCAUAGGCACCUCCUUCACUUGAAAAUCCCUUCUUGGUUAAAAUGCAAUAUAAUUUUAGUGUGAUGAAUAUCUUGGAGUAUAUCUCUUAACAAUAUUGCAAAAUAGCUUUCUUCUUUCCAAUGCUUAUCUCCAAUGGCAACCAAAUACACAACACGAUGAUGGAACAUACAAUAAUCUUCUUCAAACUAAAAGGCGAACCCUAGACAAUUAUAGGACUACAUAUCUUUUAAAUAAACAAAGUGGAUAGACAAAGGAGCAAUAACCCUAACUUUCAAAGCAGUCAUGCAUGCAUAGAAAAUGAAAGAAAUCUGCAUAGAAUACUACUGAUAAGAAAGGAAAGUAUUUUUCAAAAGUCAACAUUUUUAAUUAGAAAGCAUCCACUUGUCAGAAAACCACCAAUGCAGAGACAUCUCACAUAGUAUCUAUAAAACUUAAAACAAAUUAUAUUGUCAAACAUAAGUUUUAACAACGCUAAUUCUGUAAGACCCAUCCUUGGAAAAGUUGGUGCCAAGGAUGAGAACGAUGCAAUACAGGAAGCUAGGUGUCCAAGUGGGGAGUUGUUUAAGUUAGGUGUGAAGGGUUAGACGUUCAAAAGCAAUAAAUAGUUUUGUAGAAUUGGUCGGACGGAUUUUGUCUUCCAAAUUCGUGCCAAAUAAUAAACCGAAUCACACACCAAAAUUUAGUUUUAAUGAGAAGUUUGGAUUGAUCACAGUAAGCACACUGAUUCCUCAAACAAAUGAAUUUUGAACCACGUAACGGGGUUGAGUAGAGAUUGAUUGCAUGAAAGUAAAUAUCAAUUAGGAAAGUAAACUUGUGAAAAUUCAACGACAAAAGGAUCUAACUUGCAUUAUAGCGAUUUCCCCCUUAUUUAAAGAAUUUAUGCAUUGAACUAACUUAAUUUUUGUCCCACUUCCUCGUCUCCCAGCCACGCCAAAUUAUGGAUUACAUAUCACAAAAGGAUAAUAUUAUUGAAAGAAACAUUAGGUAAACAUGUGAGAAUAUUUAUGAUAUAUAGAUAUAGACGAACAUGUAGGAAAAAGAUUCAAAAUGAACACCGUAGGUUUAUGACAUAAAAACAAAGAUUACAUUAUUCUUCUUGCAAAGACCAACAUGCUUCUCUCUGCACCCGAUGAAAAGGAUAAACGUUUUGGAAAGCUAUUAUUUCCACCUGCAAAGGACAAACAUAUUAAUAUCAGCUCUAAGACAGUACCAAGUAUUUUUAGGAUGGUUAUUAUUUACAGUUAAAUCAAUACAUGACAAGACAACAAUAUCUUGAAACAAAAUUAAAGCUGUCUUGCUAAACAAUCAAGGAAACAAAAUUAACAACCUUCUAAUAAUGAAGUACCCAAAAAUAGGAGGAGCUUCUUUAUAUCUUAAAAGGUCACCUUCGUCUCUAACCUUCAAAUAUAAUCUUCCAAAUAGCCUAUUUUGUUCCUUAAACUUUUAAACAUUUUGUUAAGUCCAUAAUCUUGUAUUUCACAUUCAUUUUUCACCAGUCAUCAACAAAAUUAGAAAUCUUUUAAGAACUCAAAACCUAACCUACUAUACGUUGCUUCAAGUACUUGUCUGCUACAAAUAUUCAUAGAUUAGACAAAUAUAGUGAUAGCGAUUUUCUUAAACAAUUUAUCCAAAAGUAAGGACAAGGAAUCAAAUGGCCUUUCAAACCAAGUUUAGGGACUAAAAUAUAGAGUAAACAUAAAAAGUUUGGGGGAUAAAAGAAGAUUUAAACCAUUUUAGAGGUAUUGAAUCAACAUUAAAAAGAGUUCAUGUUCCCCAAUAUCCUCAAAUCCGUAGUACUAUAUCUUCUAACAAAAGAGAAGUUAGAGACAAACACCUCAUAAGUAAACUGUAUAAGCCAUGUCUAUGGUACUAACCUUCCAAAGAACUCCCUUUCCUUUUGAACUCAAGGAGUCUUGUUAAUGAGGAAGCAUUAGAAUGAGAUGACAGAAUUAGAAGAACAGUUUUCUCUAGCAGCAAAACUGAAGGGAUGGAAAGGUAGCCGAUAAACAGGUACCCAAUAAUUCUAUAAAAGCACCCCUCUUAAAAACAAGCUACUUUGGAGGAGAAAAAAAGAAAGAAAAGAGAUAAGAAAACUAAUUGUCCAUGAUUUACAGUUAAUCUGUUUUUUUUUUUUUUACAUGAAAAUGUGUCCUAAAGUGUAUUAUAAUCACUCCACUGAUCAGAUUGCAACCUCAGCAGAGUCCCAUCUACUCUGUAGCUGAAUCACUUACUUCAUAUCCAAUUCCAUCAUUCACUUGAUGAAUGAGACAUUGUGAAAUCAGGAGUUUGAUUCUAGAUAAAUAUUGUCAUAGUCCUAUUCUGAGCUUGGUUAAGCCUUAACUUUAUUUUCUGGUUUUUAAAGAUUAAGUUUGCUUGCCGAUAAAUUGUUGUUUUAAAAAGCCAUCGGAAAGUGAGAAAACAACACAGUGAAGUAAUAAUAGGCAAUAAGCAUUAACAAAAUUAGAGAUCACAAGAAGUUAAAUUUUUCUAAAACUGAAAAGUUAUCUAUUGAAGCAAUAAGCAUUCACUUAACUUCCUGAAUAAAAACUACCUCGUCUGAUCUCUGACUAGGAACUGCAAUUAACAAUGAAAUUCAAUGUACAAAAGACAAUCAUUCUCAAUCAACUCCUUUACAAAUUCCAGCAGAUCUGAUAGUUCACAAUGAAAGAGUUGGCAUCCCAUUGGAUCUAGUGGAGAAAUUUCAUAUUGUCCAACAUCUCAGGAACAAAACAUCUCUUGGUGAAAAAACAAUUCUCCCUUUCAGCCACCAUAGCUUUAUCUAUUGAAAUACAUUGAUAUAUUGGGUCCGAAAAUUGGAGAGUUUGACAUACAUAUUAAAGAUUCAUUAACCAUUAAUUCAUGGACCUAUCUAACAUCUUUUAUAACUACUUGUCAGAAGAAAUACCAUUGAUUCAUCUAUUAAUUUUAGAAGUAAAAACAAGUUAAUUAUUAAUUUAAAUAAUCCUAAUAAUUCUUUUUAUUUACUUACAGAAAUAAAUAAUCGUCAACAAAUUCAUAAAAUCAAUAUCGAUAAUUUGAUUUUGAUAAUUUUGGAUAUAGAUAUCAAUACUGAUAAUUUGGAGAAGCUUUAGGUGACGUCAUUAGAUGGGACAUUCUCAUCGAUCAUAGGACAAUUAUUUUAGUCAACCAAAACUCAAAUCACAUCACAGAACCCAAAUCUCAGAACAAGCAUACUACUAGUACUGACUGUCACUAUUUCAUAUUUCAGAUCCAUGAAUCACAAACAGACUGAUAAACAGAAAUAAAACUGGAAAUUCAAAAUCAAGAGUUUGCAUCUAAAACAGAACAAGCAAAUAAUCAGUCUCCAAAACAGUAAAUUUCAAGAAGAUGAGAUCAAAACUACCUCACAUUGCCUCUGUUUUCCCUUCUAGGCAAGCUUUCCUUCUGCAUGUAGGAAUGGACUCAAACAUGCUGACCGGCAAAAUCUCAGACAAGAACCCAACCGCAAACUCGAUGGAUUUAGAGUCUGGAGUAACCUUGAUUCCAGUAAUAGGAAGCCAGGCGAAGAGCUUCUUGACUUCAAUCCCAGAAACAUCGCUCAAUGACCUAUUGCUCAAUUUCCCCUUGAUAUUCUUUCCGUAAUAGACCAGAUCAGAGAAAUGGACAUAGCAACUGCUUUGGAGUUGGAUUUCGAAGGUACCAUCGUCUGAGAGAGUGUAGGAGUUGACAUUGUCGGGUAAGAGACCGACUGGAAAACCGUAAAGGGGAAGAAGAUCGUGGAUAUCAGAUGACCUGAGGGGAAAAUCCCUUGCGGAAAAGGAGAGGUGGGUUUGAGUGGAAAAGAGGAGAAUCAGAAGAAAGAGAGAGAAUGGGGAGAGGAUUGUGGAGAAGGAAGCCAUUGAUGGAGUCUUGAGGAAGAAAAUGGGGAGAAAAUUGGUUGCCGCUUACUUGGUUGAAACAUGUUUAAAUAGAUGCCAACAGGUGAUAAAAUAUUUCUUCCUAUUGUCUCUCAAUAAUUCAUUACAUUGAAUGAGUUUUUAAUUGAUGAAGAUUAUCUCGUAACUAAGUCGUAAUAAAAUAACAAAAACGAUCUUCUUACAAGAGCCCAUGUGAGAACCAAUCACUCUGUGCCCCCAAAUAUCAACUCUUCCAUUUCCACCCAUUACCUCUUUUAAUUAUCUAAUCUUGUUUAAGCCAUUGACUUGGGUACGCUUUCUAUUUUAAAUGCUAUUUCUCACUCCCUCCUUUCUCACAUCUCACCAUUCCUCACUCCCCAUCUCUCAUUCCCUCUGCUUUCUUUGUGUUUCCUUCUCCAAAUACCUCGUCUCUCUCUCUUCUUCCUUCUACUUUCUCUUCCCAUUCUCUCUUCCCCAUUGUUUUAAUAUAAUAUAUAGGUUAAAAUAUAUUAUAAUAAGAUAUACUAUAAUAGUCUGCACUCCAAACACCGACUAUAAUAUUUCAUACUAUAACAUUCUGCACCCCCAAACGCAAAUUAUUAUAAUACCCACAAUUUACGCAUUCCAUUUUUCCUGUUUUUGAACUCUUUUUUCUACUUUAUAAUAGUUCUAUUAGCAUGUGACUAACAUUUGUUUCCUCAUAAAAUAUCUUAUACCAAUUUUUAAAUAUACUUAAUAUGUAAUAUAUAUGUCCAUACUCUUAGAAAGAUCUAGGAAGAUGCAAAAUAUUAGAGAAAAGUUUUUCCUCAAAUCAUGUUACAAUAGAGUGGGGGGAAACAAUUUUUGAAAGCUCCAAAGCAACCCAAAGGGGAUUGUGAUCCAUAUUAAUAUACAUUACACAAAUUACAAUUCAUAUAUAAACCCUUCUAGUGGAAUUUAAGGCUGGUCAAAACAUUGUUGUUGACAGGGUCAGACAAAUGAUCCAAAAGGUUUUGGUAAGGUCCAACACCAGUAACAAGACCUUGUAUAAAGUAACCCAAAAUUGCCAACAUUGCAAGCCUUCCAUUCUUAAUUUCCUUCAACUUCAAUUCCUUCAUUGACUUCUCAUCUUUCCCAAACCCUAGUGGGUUGAACAAUGGCCCGCCAGGGUAAGCUGGGUCCCCUGAUCCACCCAAGAACUUCUCCAGGCCCAAAAAGUAUUGUUUUCCCAUGGAUCCUGGCUUGGCCCAAUCUUGAAAUCUUCUGUGUUCAGCAAAGCCCAUCAGAGCCAUUUCAAAUACAAAGAGUGUGUAAGGGUCUGCCCAAUAGUUGUAGGUCCCUGCUGGUGGGAUGACCCCUGUUUUGAACCAUGGGAGGGCUGUUUCUGGUGGGAUUAACCCCAGUGAUCCAAAGAUUUCUGGGGCUAUGGCUCCUGCUGCUCCCAACAUUGCAAACCUUCCGUUGAUCACUUCGCCGUAUGCCAACCAUCUUGGCUCGAUGAACCCUCCUGUGCCUUCGGGAUCAGAUAGCCCCAGUGGGUCAAACCCGAAAUCGCCUGGCAGACUAA
rnacentral:lncRNA from 1 species